AUUAUUUGCUUUUGUUUUUUAGCUUUCGCGCUCUACUUUGAUCGCGACGAGAUAAGGGAUCAUGAUUGCUGCGAAAUUUCAUAGAUCUCACCGUUGUUGACAAACACUUCACUACAACAGAUCGAAUACCAAGCUUCUUAACCUUUUAGUUUCACGGAGAGCGAGAAUUUGUGCUUUUACGGCGCCAAGUUGAGCGAUACUGGAUUCUGGAUGAGCUCCAGUGAACAAAUGGGCCAAUUGAAAUAGGUUCUUGG
rnacentral:misc_RNA from 1 species